GACGAACGCUGGCGGCGUGCUUAACACAUGCAAGUCGAACGGAAAGGCCCUGCUUUUGUGGGGUGCUCGAGUGGCGAACGGGUGAGUAACACGUGAGUAACCUGCCCUUGACUUUGGGAUAACUUCAGGAAACUGGGGCUAAUACCGGAUAGGGGCUCCUGCUGCAUGGUGGGGGUUGGAAAGUUUCGGCGGUUGGGGAUGGACUCGCGGCUUAUCAGCUUGUUGGUGGGGUAGUGGCUUACCAAGGCUUUGACGGGUAGCCGGCCUGAGAGGGUGACCGGCCACAUUGGGACUGAGAUACGGCCCAGACUCCUACGGGAGGCAGCGGUGGGGAAUAUUGCACAAUGGGCGGAAGCCUGAUGCAGCAACGCCGCGUGCGGGAUGACGGCCUUCGGGUUGUAAACCGCUUUCGCCUGUGACGAAGCGUGAGUGAUGGUAAUGGGUAAAGAAGCACCGGCUAACUACGUG
rnacentral:rRNA from 1 species